rnacentral:rRNA from 1 species
GACGAACGCUGGCGGCGUGCUUAACACAUGCAAGUCGAACGGAAAGGCCCUGCUUUCGUGGGGUUCUCGAGUGGCGAACGGGUGAGUAACACGUGUGUAACCUGCCCUUGUCUUUGGUAUAACUUCAGGAAACUGGGGCUAAUAUCGUAUAGGAGCUCCUGCUGCAUGGUGGGGGUUGGAAAUUUUCGGCUGUUGGGGAUGGACGCGCGGCUUAUCAGCUUGUUGGUGGGGUAGGGGCUUACCAAGGCUUUGACGGGUAGCCGGCCUGAGAGGGUGACCGGCGACAUUGGUACUGAGAGACGGACCAGACUCCUACGGGAGGCAGCAGUGGGGAAUAUUGCACAAUGGGCGGAAGCGUGAUGCAGCAACGCCGCGUGCGGGAUGACGGCCUGUGGGUUGUAAACAGCUUUCGCCUGUGACGAAGCGUGAGUGACGGUAAUGGGUAAAGAAGCACCGGCUAACUACGUG